rnacentral:lncRNA from 1 species
GUCAGCUUUUUGAAGAGACCUAGCCAGGUGUCUUCUAAAUGUCAUUUUUUAAGUUCUUUUUGUCCUAAAACAGAAACAAAUCCCACUAAGGAUAUGCUCAUCAUACUGCAUUUAAAAGUCUCUUGAAAGAAUGAGCUCUUCUACUUAGUGAAGUUACCAAUUUGAUAUAAACUUCAGUUGAUUUCUUCUUUGGUUUCAAUUUCAAAAUGUGCUUUUGAGUACGUAAAUUACUCAUAUUUAUCCAAAAGUCAAAACUUCACAAAAAGCUACACGUGAAGAAGCCUUGUCUCUAUCCUCAGCCCUGCCACCCUGUUCACUCCUAUCUCCAUAGGCAUUCACUUUUGAGUUUGUAAUUUACUCUUCAGGUUUGUAGUUUGUAGUUUAUACUUAUUUGCAAAAUAUAUAUAUUAUAUAAAAUAUAUUGGCCAAGCACAGUAGCUCAUGCCUGUAAUCUAAGCACUUUGGAAGACUGAGGCAGGAAGACCGCUUGAGCCCAGGAGUUCGUGACCAGCCUGGGCAACAUAGCGAGCCCCAUCUCUACAAAAAAUUUAAAAAUUAAAAAAAUAUAUAAACAUAUAUAAUAGAUAAAUAUAUAUACAAAAUAUCUAUGUACAUACGUAUUAUUUCUUCCCCUCAAUUCUCAAACAAAAGGCAGCAAGCCAUAUAGUUUUCUGUACUCUGCAUUUCUCAAUAACAUAUUGUAUACUGCAAAUGUCAUACAUGUCACAUAUCAAGUAUACUGUACUAUUAAGAUACAAAGAGGCCGGGCACAGUGGCUCAUGCCUGUAAUCCCAGCACUUUGGGAGGCCAAGGCGGGCAGAUCAACUGAGGUCAGAAGUUUUGAGACCAGCCUGGCCAACAUGGAGAAACCCUGUCUCUACUAAAAAUACAAAAAAUAGCUGGGCACGGUGCCAGGCACCUGUAAUCCAGCUACUCAUAAGGCUGAAGCAGGAAGAAUCACUUGAAACUGGGAGGCAGACGUGGCAGUGAAGCGAGAUAGUGCCAUGCACUCCAGCCUGGGCAACAGAGCGAGACUCUGACCCAAAAACAAACAAACAAAAAGAUACAAAGAUACACUGGAGGCAUUUUGUGUGGUAGAUGUGUUACAACAGUUCUUAAGCUAUGGAGAGAUAUUUCCUGCUGACCACUCGGUGGAGUUCCACUAUGUAAAUCAAACACAGGCCAUGUAUGUAUGUUGUAUGCUGCCCACUAACAAAUGUAAGGCCAUCUUACCUCAAGUACUCAAAUAUCUAAUACUGUCAGCUUGCUGCUGCAACUUGUUUUUCAAAAGACUUCAUCUUCCAACAAUGAAUGUCAUUAGCAUUAGAUGUAUCACACAUCACAUUUGCUAAAUUUGGUACCUGAAAUGUGACUUCUAGUAUUACAGUAUUUGUAGGGAAAAAAAAGUAUCUCGGCCGGGCGCAGUGGCUCACUAUUUUCUAAGAUAACACAAAAUCUUCCCAUAUCCAUUUCAUUUGUGGAGAGGCCUCCAGUCCCUAUAUCUUGUGUUUUCUGAUGCCAACUAAGGAUUUAAUUUACACAGAAGGAGACCCCUACAUUAUUUACAUUCAUAAGGUUUCUACCAUGAAUUUUGGUUUGAAAAACAAAUUGACUUUACACAUGAGGAUUUCCCAUAUUUGUUACAAUUCAGAGUAUCACUCUUGUGUGGAGGAUGACUUCAUACAGAUUUCCCACAUGUAUUGCCUUCAUAUGGUUUCUCCCCUGUGUGAGUUCUCUGAUGAUUGAUGAGGGUUGAUUUAUGGUGAAAAGUUUUCUGACAUUCAGUACAUUCAUAGGAUUUCUCUUCUCAGUGUGUUCUCUGAUGAUCAGUGAAGUUUGACUUCAUAGAAAAGGCCUUCCCACAUUCAUUACAUACAUGGGGUCUCUUUCCUGUGUGAUUUCUCAGAUGAAUAUUAAGAUGUGACUUCAGGCCAAGUGCAGUAGCUCAUGCCUGUAAUCCCAGGACUUUGGGAGGCCAAGGCAGGCUGAUCACUUGAGGUCAGGGGUUUAAGACCAGCCUGUCUCUACUAAAAAUACAAAAAUUAGCUGGGCAUGGUGGCAGGCACCUGUAAUCCCA